AGAAAGGGAAGUACGAGGACGAAAGAGACCGAACGCGGAGCCUGUCGAUAUCACGAGCCACCGGCCUCCAACCUCGAUUUCUUCCUCUGUCACGGGCGCUGGCCCCUCGGUCGGAGCCCGUGCUCAUGCAGGGCUGGCACGUGCACUGAGGCUGGC
rnacentral:lncRNA from 1 species